GUUCGUCGCGGGGGAAAAAGGCUUCGGGAACGUGGCUCCUCCGGGAGUGUUAUAGCCCGUUGCAUAAUACCCUGCGGUGGACUGAGGACCGCGCAUCUGCAAGGAUGCUGGCGUAAUGGUCACCAGCGA
rnacentral:rRNA from 1 species